UCUUAUCAAGAGUGGUGGAGGGAUGUGCCCGAUGAAACCCGGCAACCAUCGUUUAAUGAAAUGGUGCUAAUUCACAGGAAGUAAUGUUUACUUUCGGAGAUGAG
rnacentral:ncRNA from 1 species